AAACGUGAGGGUGAUCUGGCGGUGACAUCUGUCAUCCUAUUGAUGGCAGGGUUGAUUGGGUUGAUCUGGCUGGCUAGGCAGGUGUCCCCUUCCUCCCUCACCGCCCUGUGCAUUCCUCCUGAAGCUGCACACUCAGUCUAAGAGGACAACCAUCCUCGAUAGAGGAGGACCGUUCUUCAGUCAAGGGUAUAGGAGUAGCUGCACUCUUCUUCUGGAACCUUCCCACAAGUUCUCAAGGUCCAAAUAUGGCAGCCAGGAAAGAGGCAAGUGGAGGAAGCUGGGAGUAUCCUGGGAGCAGUGGGUGGGGUCUCCUGCUGCUGUGU
rnacentral:snRNA from 1 species